rnacentral:misc_RNA from 1 species
GUUGGGUUUUCAUCUUCAACUGGUGCUAGCACAGAGAUACAUAAUAUUCUUUCAUGGGAGUUCAAUUCAACUGAAAUUUCAUCCAAGCCAGAUGUUGGAAGCGGAGGCGGGGGAGGUGGUGGGCAGAGCAUAGGUAUAAUAAUUGGUAGUGUGGCUGGUGGACUUGCUGCAAUUGGUGGGUUGAUCUCAAUAUUGAUCUUUUCUUGGAGGAGAAACAGGAGGAAGAAAGAAGAUGUUGAAUCAGAUGAUU